CUGCGGACUGUGUCUGCAUUCCCUUGGUCACAUCAAUCACGAGCAUCAUCAAAUCAAUGAUCUGGGCACCUGGGGCAAUAAAAGGUGCAAAACACACCAGUACAUGCUCAAGGUCACAUGGCUGCCUGGCACUAAAGAGAACAGCUAAAGUAAUUGGCCUGCUGCUCUCAGAGGACUCCUACUUAGUACUAGCUAAAGCCCUGGCUACCUGUUCGCCAGAAUCCCACAUUCCUGAGACCUCUAGGAACCUGGAGACAUCCCAAAGAGCAGGUAAGCAAGGUCCAGCAGUUGGCAAAGGAAGGAGAGCAGACUCAAGUGAAGACAAUCUGCCAAUGUUCUCUGGGACACACGUGCCAUCUGAGACCAUUGCAGUCAUCACCACCUAAGGACAUACGCAGAAGAACAAUGCCAGCCAUGUCUGCAGAGGAGGUACAGAGGGAACAACAAAGGGAGGCCGUGUAAGAGAUCAAGGGAAAUUUUCAACAGGAUGGACAAGAAAAGCAGGAGUUGGACUCCAAUCAAGAGCAAAAAAUGCCAAAAGAGAAAGAGGCUGGGGAUUGGCUGAAAGGUCCAGAGCUGAGGGCAUGCACACAAUGCCCAGUGUUAUAGGCUGAGAUGCCACAAGUGAGUAGCCGCCGCCGUUCGCCAAGCUCUUUAUCUACAAAUCAGGACAGCCUCUCGACUGUGACCUAGGGGCAACAGACAGCAUCUUGGUAAAAAUAAAAUGUGAUC
rnacentral:lncRNA from 1 species